AACGAACGCUGGCGGCAUGCCUAACACAUGCAAGUCGAACGAUCCCUUCGGGGAUAGUGGCGCACGGGUGCGUAACGCGUGGGAACCUGCCCUUAGGUUCGGAAUAACUCAGAGAAAUUUGAGCUAAUACCGGAUAAUAUCUUCGGACCAAAGAUUUAUCGCCUUUGGAUGGGCCCGCGUUGGAUUAGCUAGUUGGUGGGGUAAAGGCCUACCAAGGCGACGAUCCAUAGCUGGUCGGAGAGGAUGAUCAGCCACACUGGGACGGAGACACGGCCCAGACGCCAGGGGGCGGGGGGGUGGGGAAUAUUUGGACAGGGGGCCAAAGCCUGCACCGCCACGUCCGGGGUGGUGAUGAAGGCCUUGGGGUUGUAAACCUCUUUUACCCGGGAGGAAAUUGCCGUAACGGGGAAAAAAACCCCCGCCAACCUCCUU
rnacentral:rRNA from 1 species